GACCUUCCUACUGUAAAGGUCCUAAAACACACAAAAAUCAGGAGAAAAAGGGACAGAACAUUUAACUCCCUAGUGAUUUUAGAAACUAACAACAAAUUAUAUUUGAAACAUGGAAUAUACAAAACAUACUCAAUUUUUCUCCCACCUGUAAUUCUACAAGAUCUAACCUGAGACAUCUUAGUGACAUUACCAAUUGAUAGAUGAACUUUCUAUACCUUUGUACUAUUGAGUCUAACUGUUACACUCCAUAAUAAUCUGUGCUACUUGUAUUAAAACAAGAAAGAAUGAGUUAAGAAGGUUCAAGGAAAGUUAAUCGAGUUAGUAAGAAUAUCGUUAUAUAUACAUGGUUUCCUUAAGUAUCCCAAGGCGACACGGUUACCUAAAGGGUGUGGAAUCGCGCUAUGAGUAUGUAUAUGAAGUAAUGCGAGUGACCUUUUAAAGUAUUUGAGAUUAUUAGUAAUGAUAUAGAGGGUGGACAAAAGAUAUGAAUAUACUUUUGCGAUUGGAGUUUCGUCAAAGCUUUGUGAGUUCUCUAGUUAUGUUUAAGGUUAUUGUGAGUCUUUGGACCCUUCAAGAUGUGUAUAUGGAUUUUUUAUUGAUGUAUAUAAGUGUGUAUAUGUAUGCAUAAGAGGUUACAUAAGGUUGGAAGAGGAUUAGAAGUUAAACGAAAUGAAUCGGAACAACUUCAGUAAAAUUUCGGACCCGAUUUUAGUCUAUAUUGUAGGAGGCAUAUCUCCUUGAAUAUGAGGAGUUUUAAGGUGUUUCAAAAGCCUAAAAUGAAGUUCAUCGAGUCUAGUUUGUAAUGCAACAAACCUCUCGUCAAAAUGAUAUCGGGAUAAGGAGAUAUGGACGAUGUAAGUUGGGCUGGCAGGGCAGCAAGUUUGGACCCGACCCAAACACUCACAUUUCGGCCCAUGAGGCCCAUUAAACUCAAUAGAUAAGUCACCACUUUGCCUUAUAUCAUUUCACACGACCUAAAACAGAUCCAAAACCCUUAUUUUCUCUCCCAAACCCCCUUUCUAAUUGAGCCAUCAUAUAAGCUAAAUCCUAGACCCUUGACAUGAUAUUAGUUAAAGAGAAGUUGUAGCUUAAGUUUUUUUUUUGUGUUGUUAAGCAAGCAGCUGGAAAGAGGAACAAGAUUCUUGAAGAUUCUGAUUGCUAAAGGUAAUUUCAACCUCCCACUCAUGUUAUCAAUUUGGAUUAAAGGUUUAAUAUGGUGUAUACGUGAAGGAAACGUUGAUAUACAAGCUAGAGAGAGAGAGAGCAUAAGCCAUGGCAUUCGGCCAUGGCUAGCAAAAUUGGAGCUCAAAUUUGUUGAUCCAAAAAUCAGAUUUUCUAGGUAUUUCAGCCCUUAGGAAGGUGAUAAUAACGUGGAGAAUUCAUUUGGAGCAACAAGAACAAGUAUUAGUGCAUUUCACAAAUUCUAGCUAAGUGGAAAAAGCCAACUUGUUAAGAUUGGUUAUUGGAGUUGCUAGGUUGGUUAUUGUGGUUGUUGCUGUUGAUUUUGAGCGAGUUAAAUUCUCGGGAUGGCCUAUUUACAGGGGAAGUGCUGCCGAAUUUUCUGUAGAAUUUAAUGUUAGUUUGGAAUGAAUGGCUUAAGUGCCUAUGUUUAAUAUUGGAUAUUCGUUGGCAUAUUUGUAGACCUUGGGGAGCCUGAGGCGUAGAUUGGAAUUUACUUUAGAUUGGCUAUCUUGGAGUGCGUACGAGGUAUGUAAAGCGCAACCCUUCUUUCUUUUGGCAUGCCUUAGUUUUCAAUAGGCUAUAUCACGAGCCUCGAGGAAAUUCCAAAUUCGAAAUCCGAGCACGUUAUGAUCCUUAUAUAUAUUUCUUGGCAUUCUUAUGUAUGUUGUGAUGAAGUAUGAACAAUUAUGUCUUCGAAAGCAUUGAUUUUCAAACUUUGUACAAAAAGUUGUUUUAAAGAAUUCCGUAACUACGAAAUGCCAUAUCUUUUGCAUAAAGGCUCGGAUUGCUCCAAUAUUUUCAUAAGAGUUUGCAUGAUGUAUCGUAUGUUUUCCAUGAGCGGGCCCGAUUCGGGUCGAUACCCGUUCGUGGGUCUCGCGACUUUCCUUUAUGUAAUUCGGACGACUUUUGAAAGAAUUUGGUAUGAUUAUCAUUUCGAAUUUCAAAUAUUAUCAUUUUACUUAUGUUUGAAUUUAUGAUAAUGAUUUUAUGCAUAUGACUACUCUAUUAACUACUAAACAAAAAUUGUUUUAAAUAAUUCAUUAAGUCUUAUAAAUUGUUUUGGCACUCGGAACGACUUCAGAAAGGUAUGCUUCUGUAAUUCAUUAUGACAUCCGAAACUCACUUAUUAUGAUCCUGUCUUACUUCAUUGAAUUGGUUUGUCAUUGAUAUGCCUCAUCGAGUCUCUGAAAAUAUUUAUGAUAUUUUAACUGCAUUUAGUUUCUCACUACUCUAUUCGUGGAUGCCCCAAUGUUUCCCACACUGAGCCCGGGCCAGGAUAUGUUGUCAAGCGUAAUCCUCUGCAUUGUUCGUCGUGCCUCGAUGUGAGGGGGCAGGUAUACGUGUACAUGGGUUUGUGGAGUAUGCUGUGCCAUGUACACAUGUUCUGAUAUGAUUUGCCAUGGCCAUCUGAUAUGAUAUACUAUGUUACGGGGUUAUGCCCUUAUUCUGAUUCUUCUGUGUUGUGGCACCAGCGUCGGGAGGGUGGCCACGUUCUGUUUGCCGAGUCCCUUGGCAGGGGCCGGAUUUGAUAUGACAUAUGUUUCUGUACACACUCCGCAUGUUUUGAAGAUAUGUAUUUGAUACUUUGGAUUUUCUACUCACUUUUUCUGUACGCUCUGUACCAGUUAUGAUUUUGGUUCUGUAAUUCAGGCUUUACAUAUUCAGUACAUAUUUCGUACUGACCCCCUUUCUUCGGGGGCUGCGUUUUCAUGCCGCGCAGGUACCGACGACAGGUUUGCUGAUCCGUCCGUCUAGGAUAUCUUUUCUGCCAUUUGGAGCGCUCUUUUAUUCAGAGCCCAUCUUUUGGUUAAGCCGCCAUGUUGUGGGUUCGUGAAAGAGCAUUGGAGAUUAUUCCAGUGUUUCAAGGUUGAGUUGUCAGCUAGUCUGUGGUAGCUUAGAGUCUUUAUCUCUGUACUCAGUCUUAACGAGAAGUUGUGUUAUGACUUUGAAAAAAGGGUCUUAUAGCUCAAAGUGGGUUAAGGCAAAAAGUAAUUUUAACGUGGUCAAAUCCACACCUGGAAAAAAAAAAUGACAAGCCGUCAUUGUGCAGUUCAGAGAAGCCUUUUAAAGUUGAGAAACAAAAUCAAAUUUGAAUACUUGUAUUCUUAACCAGAUGUUGUAUCUUCAGUAACCGCGUGUAUUUCCUAUUCUUAGUAGCUUUUGACUUGUGAUACCAUUUAUUAGGGGUUGUAGAGUAGUAUUUCGUAUUGUUCUAACUUGGAAA